UACGAAGGGGGCUAGCGUUGUUCGGAAUUACUGGGCGUAAAGGGCGCGUAGGCGGCUCGGUCAGCGUGCGGUGAAAGCCCGGGGCUCAACCCCGGGUCGGCCGUGCGAACUGCUGGGCUGGAGCACUGUAGAGGCAGGUGGAAUUCCGGGUGUAGCGGUGGAAUGCGUAGAGAUCCGGAAGAACACCGGUGGCGAAGGCGGCCUGCUGGGCAGUAGCUGACGCUGAUGCGCGACAGCGUGGGGAGCAAACAGG
rnacentral:rRNA from 1 species